AUUGAACGCUGGCGGCAGGCCUAACACAUGCAAGUCGAGCGCGCGGCGGAGGGGUGAGAAAAGUAUGGGGACUGUCCGAGAGAGGGGGGUAACUACUGGAAACGGUAGCUCAAAUCCCAUACUACCGGAGAAUGCAAAUGGGAUUAGCUAGUAGGUGAGGUAAUGGGUCACCUAGGCGAUGAUCCCUAGCUGGUCUGAGAGGAUGAUCAGCCACACUGGAACUGAGACACGGCCCAGACUCCGACGGAGGCAGCAGUGGGGAAUAUUGCACAAUGGGCGCAAGCCUGAUGCAGCCAUGCCGCGUGUAUGAAGAAGGCCCUAGGGUUGUAAAGUACUUUCAGUCUGGAGGCGUUACCGACAGAAGAAGCACCGGCUAACUCCGUGCCAGCCGCCGCGGUAAUUC
rnacentral:rRNA from 1 species